UGAUCACUAAUUGAGAAAAUGCCCCAUAGCUUGAUCUCGUGGAGGCAUCUCCCCAACUGAAGCUCCUUUCUGUGAUAACUCCAGCUGUGUCAAGUUAACACAAAACUAGCCAGUACAGUUACCAAACCCAGACACUAUUGUGGAUGUCAAGAAGUGCAUGCCGACAGGAGCCUGAUAACCAGUUCUUUUCUAAUGGAUAUCAGACAUAAUGUAGAAGCAACUUAAAUUGGCUGAUUUCGGCUAUGUCUUUCUGUUUUUCUUAAAGGAUUUAUGUGUGCAUGUGUGCAUACAUACCUGUGUGUCUGUAUGCAUCCUGUAUGUGUGGGUGCCUGAGGAAGCCAGAAAAGGGCUCCAGUACCCCUGGAGCUAGAGCCCCUCAACAUGAGUGCUGAGAACUGAAUGCACGUCCUAUGAAAAAGCAUGGGUUCAAGAUCACUCACAGCCAUGAAUUGGGCUGGCUUAUGACCAUCCCCAUAUACCUUCUCCCAUGCUUGCACUAAUGGUUGGCCUGCUCUAUAGAACUCCAUGCCUCAUGGUACAGCCUCAGAGAAGAAGCCUGCACCUCUGAAGCAACUGUCAGUUCUUUCUGCUGACGGCUGCCAGUUUGAUUAGGUUGACCUUGUGGCCACACGGAUCCCAUCUUAAGUACUCACGUACUUUGCACCUCCAGGUCAAGGCUCACUGGAUCAGUGUAGACAGGUGAAGGCUCACUGGAUCAGUGUAGACAGGUGAAGGCUCACUGGAUCAGUGUAGACAGGUGAAGGCUCACUGGAUCAGUGUAGACAGGUGAAGGCUCACUGGAUCAGUGUAGACAGGUGAAGGCUCACUGGAUCAGUGUAGACAGGUGAAGGCUCACUGGAUCAGUGUAGACUGGAUGGACACCCGUGGUGUAUUUUAUCUAUUGACACUUCCCUUGGCUUCUUCAGAUUUAGCCUAGACAGUGGAGGUUUAUGGUGUGACAUGCACCCUCAUUCUUGCCCCUUCAGAAGCAGUGGCCCAGUUCCCAUUUGUCUUGGAAAAGUUAUUUUGAAGUUUGCUCAGGUAAGGCUCUGCUGAAAUAGGCCCCUCCCUUUGCUGAGGUGAAAAAGUCUAAGAAGGAAAGGGUGACUCAAGACACUUCGUGGGGACACUUUUGAAAUUGGCCUGGUGACAGUGGCUGCUCUUCUUUCCUCCUUAGGUGGGCUUCAAGCCUGCCGGAGGCAUCCGCACUGCAAAGGAGUCCCUGGCGUGGCUCUCCCUGGUCAAGGAGGAACUAGGAGAUGAGUGGCUGACGCCUGACCUCUUCCGGAUAGGGGCCAGUUCUCUGCUCUCAGACAUCGAGAGACAGGUGAGUGAAGACACACUGUCCUUGGAAGGAGUGGAGGCUGACCACAUCAGAACUGAGCGAGUCUCCACCUCCUGCAAGGGAAGCUGCAUCAGUUAUAUAGAUCAGGUGUAAAUUCUGCUGAAAGGCGUACUAACGCAGUACGGAGGGAAGUUACUAUUGUGCAAUAGUGUAAUUACUACUUAAUGUGUAUGCUUGCUUAAUUAUUAAUUAACGAAACUGGCUUUCCUCACAGAUUUACCAUCACGUGACUGGACGCUACGCGGCUUAUCAUGAUCUUCCGAUGUCUUAGGUCAGCAGCCAACCCAGAAAAGCAUCUUGCAACAAAUUGUUCAAAAAAAAAUGUUUUUGCAUAAUUGCUAAGGUUAUGUAAUUUUGGAACAGCUAACUGACUUUCCCCAUUAAAAUCUCCCCUGAAAUCAACUCAAAACAAUAAAGGGAAACAAACCAGCUGAAUCUAAAUGUGGAUUCAGAUCAGGAAAGGUUGAAAUGGUCUUCGUUACCAGGAGGUCUACAUUUAUUAAUUUUGUGAAGAUUCCCUCUGAAAAAAACUCAGAAUAAAAUGUUUCUAGUAGCCUGUACUGCAGAAAAUUCUGAACGUACAGUGAAGUUAAGUUGCCUGAGACCUGAGAUCCUAGGGCAGGCAGGGCUGUGGAGGGAAGGGUGCUUGCUACCAAACCUGGCACACCUGUUCAGCUCUGAGCAACCACAGGGUGGACGGGGAGAGCCGGCUCCAAAGGCUGGCCUCUGACAUUCACACAUUCGUGUCCCCUACCUCUGACACAUAAUAAAUACACUUAAAACUGUGAUAAAAAUGAGAAUGGGUGCUAUAGCAAGAGGAUACUCUGCCCCCCUGUGCUGCCUACCAAUGUGGAGCCCUGCCCCGGGUGUCCACCUGACUCUCUGUGCUAUACUAAACAUUUAGUAAUUGUUUUGCUAAUGAGAUUGUGAUGUUGUUGCAAGAAAAUGUGGAUAUCGCUGAAUUUUUAAAUACAAAAAAUCUCUGUGCUUAUUUAUUUAUUUUGUUUAUUUUCGGCGGUGCCCUGGGGGUGGGUGGUAUGGGCUGGAACUUAAAAAAUCCUUCCAGCAGGAGGAGGUGUUGCUAGUGUUGGUAUACAUCUUUAACUCCGGAGUUCAGGUGUAGAGCCAGGUGGAUCACUAUGGGAUCAAGGCCAGCCUGGUCUACAGAGAAAUCCUGUCUC
rnacentral:lncRNA from 1 species